rnacentral:rRNA from 1 species
AGUUGGUAGGUAACGGCUACCAAGGCGAUGAUGCAUAGCCCGAGUUGAGAGACUGAUCGGCCACAUUGGGACUGAGACACGGCCCAAACUCCUACGGGAGGCAGCAGUAGGGAAUCUUCCACAAUGGACGCAAGUCUGAUGGAGCAACGCCGCGUGAGUGAAGAAGGGUUUCGGCUCGUAAAGCUCUGUUGUUGGUGAAGAAGGACAGGGGGUAGUAACUGAUCUUUGUUUGACGGUAAUCAAUUAGAAAGUCACGGCUAACUACGUGCCAGCAGCCGCGGUAAU